rnacentral:rRNA from 1 species
AGCGAACGCUGGCGGCAGGCUUAACACAUGCAAGUCGAACGCCCCUUUCGGGGGGAGUGGCAGACGGGUGAGUAACGCGUGGGAACGUGCCCAUCGGUUCGGGAUAACCCAGGGAAACUUGGGCUAAUACCGGAUACGACCGUGAGGUGAAAGAAUUUCGCCGAUGGAUCGGCCCGCGUCUGAUUAGCUGGUUGGUAGGGUAACGGCCUACCAAGGCGACGAUCAGUAGCUGGUCUGAGAGGAUGAUCAGCCACACUGGGACUGAGACACGGCCCAGACUCCUACGGGAGGCAGCAGUGGGGAAUAUUGGACAAUGGGCGCAAGCCUGAUCCAGCCAUGCCGCGUGAGUGAUGAAGGCCCUAGGGUUGUAAAGCUCUUUCGCACGCGACGAUAAUGACGGUAGCGUGAGAAGAAGCCCCGGCUAACUUCGUGCCAGCCGCCGCCGUAAAAC